ensembl:lncRNA
CCCCUUUCUGGGGACUUGGAGACCACAAGGGCAGGGGCCCCGCAUGUGACAUGUCCCCUGGCAAAGGGCACCUCGCUGCCACUGUCACCCAGGGGACGGGCCUGGGCCCACGACUGUCCAGCACAUCUGGACGCUCCGUGUUGCUGACAGGGAGAGCGUGGGGCUGCAUCAGGCUGUGAACGUGUCAGAGGUCGGAGGCGAGGUUCCUCGUGGAUCCGCCUGGAAGCAGCUGCCGAGCAGGCUCUUCACGUUGGCAGGAUUGGCUGUGCCCUCGAAGGGACCUGGAAGGGCGUCUGUUCCAGGCUUUGGCCUCCCUCCUGUCUCUGGGGGAACGUCCUCGGCCAACCUCACUCUCUAUCAGAAGACGAACAAGAUCAGUCCUCGUUUGUCUGAGCUGCUCCCGUCCGGCCCGUCGAGGGGUAGAGGCCGACCUCGUUCUCCUCGCUGGACACCUGUCCCCAGUGCCCUGUCUGCCGGGGCCCCGCUGAGCCGCCAGGACGACGAGGCAAAGAAAGGACUUGGAGGGUCAGCUGGCGAGGGGGACAGGGCAGAGCUCCAGGAGGAAGAAGGACCCAGAAGCAGAGGACUGAGGUGGGAACUGGGGCUGGACAGGUAUGUGGGGUCCAGACCCUUCUCUAUGGGGUCCACGCAGUGGCCCCAGGUAGGAGGAGAGCAGAGCACCGAGAUCCCCCGCUCUUUCUUGAAGGACCUUUGUUCCCCGGGUCUCAGGGUCAGUACCACGUGGUCCCUGCUUACGCUGGCCCCAGCGUCCCCCAUGGCCUGGCAACCUCUCCCGGCCCCUCUGGGCAGAGCCUGCUCCAGCUGCUGCCCCCAGACAAGGUCUGACUGCGUCCUUGCUGGAGCCUCAGUGCGGCCUCUGUUUCCCUGGUGGAGCCGGGAGGGGCCCUGACAGGCUGUGUGGACACCGAGUCCUCUGUAGGAGGCGCCUGGCCCAGCCCUCAGGGGCCUGAGGGACGGGACCCAGGUCACCUUUGCCCCUCCCUGGAAGAUGCAGCCUCCUUCACGGUCUGUCCCCCACUUCCCACUUGAGAAGGCAGGCGCGAAGACCUGAACGGUGUUUCAGAGGCCCCUGCGAUCUGGACUGUGAAUAAGGGGUCCCGGUCGGGGGGCAGCAGGAGAGAGGGAUGCAAAUUCACUGAGGGCCACGAGGACUCCACCACGAUGGGCAGCUCUCCGGAGAGCUCCACCCCUCGGUCCCGGGUCCCUCUGCUCCAGGGCUGGGUUGCCUGGCCUGCCCGCACGCCUCCGCUCUGUGGGGUGGCCCCGGGAGCCCCCAGCAGCCUCACAGGCCUCACGAUGCCCGCAGCACGUGGCCUGCUCAGGACAGGCCAUGCCAGGGUCCAGAAUCACUCCCCCUGACCCUGGCACACGGCCGACCCCGCGGGGCAGCAGAGGGCCGGGCGUGACCGAGGGUAAUGCUCUCUCCUGCAUUCCCGGGAAGUGACCUCUGGAACCGUGUGGCCUGUGAAGCGACGAUGAUCCAAAGGGCUCCCGCGUUUGGACACUGAUGAGGCCCCGGGACGGUGGAGACCCCGGAGGAGGAGCCCGUGCGCUCUGUGCUGCUGGACCAAGAGCCCGGCGAGCACCGGGGUUAUGCGGACGGUAUUUUUAGCACCUGCAGAAACAGCAGCUCUAAGCCACUGACCGUGACAGAGGCAGAUGUUCCUGCUCCUUCCGCCCUGCUGGCUGCCUCGCGGCUCACCUCGUGGUCUCUGUUCCUAAACCAAUGAUGAUGCACCAGCUGUGCGCACCUCCCUGUGGCGUGGAGGUCACAGGCUGGCCGGCGUCAGGCAGGAUGCAGGAGAAGUCGUCCUAGUCUGCUCAGCUGCUGUAAGGAACCCCCAGACUGGGGCUUAAACAGCAGACACUCGUCUCUCGGGGGCCUGCGGGCCGGACGCCCAGGACAGGGCACCCGCGGUCGGUUCUGCUGAGGACCCGCCUCCUGGUCACCAGACGUCCAUCUUCUCACUGUGUCCUCACACGGCCAAGGGACCAGGAGCUCCCCGGGGUCUCUUGUUGUAAGGGCACUGAUCCCGUUCACGCAGCCCCCACGCUCCUGACGUGCCCUCCUUCCGAAGGCCCCACCUGUACCAUCAGGGUUCAGUCUCUGAGUUCUGGGGACACGGACACUCAGCCUGGAGCAAAAGUGGUGCAGAAAGACGCUGGGUCUCCUCUCAUCCCAGAGUCCAAGUCCAGCACUGAAACCAAAGGGGCGCUGACCCCCGCCUGGACCAGCCACGGCCCUGCCCACCUGCCAUGUGAACAGCACAGCGAGGGACGGGGGGAGCCUGGAACCCACAGGAGCCCCCAGGGGACCAACUCACGACAGCAGAGGGGCCGGAGGGAGAGGCUGUGAGUGAAGGUGGACGACCAGCUAGCUCCUCUCCAGGCAGAGAAACCCAGAGGGGCUUCCUGGAGGAGUCUCUGGAGGAACCAGAACCCCCUCCAACCCACUGCCAGCUCCUCAGGCGUCCUGGGCACCCCCGCAUCUCAGUCAAGAAGGGGACCAUCACCCUGUCCAUCUCUUUGUCCACAUGAUGGUGCAUGGGGUGUCCAGCUGGCUUCCCGUUGUCCUUGGGGUUGGUUGUCCCCACUGCUGGUCCCUCUGGCCUCCUGGACUUCUGCCCGAGUCUUUCAUUCGGGCCCAUGUAGGACCUUCAGCAUCUGUGGCAGGAGGGGCCCAGCUUGCAGACGGGGGUGUUUUAUGGUUCACGGGUCACACAGCCUCGGCCGCUGGAGCCCACGAGAGGGGCUGUGACCCAGUAAACCUGUAUCACGGA